rnacentral:lncRNA from 1 species
GACUCGCUUCAAAUGCACUUAAGUCACCAUAAAUUCAAGAGAGUAUUUUUCUUUUUUUUUCUUUAAUGAUUUAUUUAUUAUUAUAAAUAAGUACACUGCAGCUGUCUUUAGACACACCAGAAGAGGGCAUCAGAUCUCACUACGGGUGGUUGUGAGCCACCAUGUGGUUGCUGGGAUUUGAACUCAGGACCUUUGGAAGAGCAGUCAGUACUCUUACCCGCUAAGCAUCUCGCCAGCCCAAGAGUAUUUUUCUGAGUGCUACAAUAUGGUUGAUGGUGAUUUUCUCUCCACGGUUUAAAUGUCUUUCCAUGCUCUCUUGGCUUUGGGAUCACUGACCAGACACAGAUAGAAUUCUGUUACUUGGGUGUUUUCACAUUGUUCUUUAUCCACAUUCAGUAUUAAUUUUACUUUUCCUGUUUGACCUCUUGAUAUUAAAGGACCACAAGCCAGCUAUUCAUUAUUCUUCAAAGAGAAAAUCAAAGAAGAGACCCAGAAAGAAAUGGCUGGUUCUCCAUUAAUCAUGUCACAGGUCAGUGGCCAUGUCUACUCUAUUUCUAAAAAUGUUAUAGUCUGAUACAUUGCAAGCCUUUAAUUUUCUGCUUCUGAAAAUUUUUAAAUUUUUGUUCUGAAAAUUGUUACAAAUGGAUAAAGAAAAUCACAUUGCAAUUCACCGAACUCAGAGACUCGUCAAGUCAAUGCACUUUUUUGCAGUUACAGUAUUCUUUGGUAACAGAAGCUCUGGAGCCUCAGAUGUGAUUUUAUGUUUUCACAAUCAAAUAUGUCUUUAUGAACUGAUCCACCACCAAAAAACAAAAUACCUGUGUCAGAAUUAGAACUAGAAAAUUCUAUAUCUUUUUAUGUCCUUUUUAUCCUUUCUCAUAACUGGUGACUGUUACCUGCACUCAGUACUAACUCAAUCCCAUAUUUAACCUUUCAAGUUCUCUUUUCUCUGUGUUCUACAGUACCCACAUGUGCAUUGUUUCCAUCCAUACAUAUCAGAAGUGGAAAUUCUGGUUUCUUUGGAAACUCAGUUAUAUCAUAUGAUGUUUUGCUGAUGCAGAUGGGUGAAAGGUUGUUUUACAGAAGCAGACACACAUGAAAGAAGGUUGAAGCAGACAUAUUAAAGAAUGCUGAAGCAGACAUUAAAAAGAAUGUUUUACUUAAGCACAUAGGUGAGAGGAUAUUUUACUGAAGCAGACACUAAGGAUGUUUUCCUAAAGCAGACACAGGAAGCCAGGCGGUAGUGGUGCACGCCUUUAAACCCAGCGCUUGGGAGGCACAGGCAGGUGGAUUUCUGAGUUUGAGGCCAACCUGGUCUACAGAGUGAGUUCCAGGACAGCCAGGACUACACAGAGAAACCCUAUCUCAAAAACACCAUAAUAAUAAUAAUAAUAAUAAUAAUAAUAAUAAUAAUAAAAGCAGACACAGGUGAGAGAAUGUCUUGGUGAAGCAGAUGCAUGAGAGGAUGUGUGAUGUUUAGAAAGAAUAUAAAUAUGACCCCACAGACAGUGAGAGGAGGCUCUGGCCUUGGUUUGCUUUACUCAGCCUCACUGGUCUUUGCUGAUGAUGUUCCUAUAUUGGUUUGCCUUGUAUCACAUUGCUUAUCUAUGUUCAUUAUGACUUUGUAGAGAAUAACUGGCCAAACAACUUGUGAUAUUCCAACAGCUUCUUGUGGCAUCCGUGGUCUCAGGCCAAUUGUCAGAGAUUAGCAGAGCCUUGCUGUUUCUUCUGUAUUUAACUGCAGUUGCUGAUUUGUGAGUGGUGCUUGUGAGGGGACUGGACAGCUGCUGCUGAUUAUUGUUGGUGUUUUGCUAGUGGACUGGACUGCUGACAAUGAAGAUUGGAAUAGCCCCAAAGAACUAUUUCUAAACAUGUCCACAACCCCUGCUUUCUAUUAAUCUUUCUUGUUUGUUUCCUCUGGUGGCUAGUGUGCUAGAAGGGAGUUUGAAGCAUUUAAUAACCCUUAUUAAAGUAAGUUUUGAAAAAUUGAAGCCUAUACAUAUUAUAAGCUAGAUUCUGCCUAUGAGGAAAAUGUCAUCUCUUCUUUCUUACCAGUAUGUCCUCACUUAAUAUUAUACAUUCUGAGUCCAUCUGUUUCUUUUCUUGCAAAUUAUUACAUUUUUCUCUUCAUCUGAAUAGUAUUUCAUUUUAUAUGUAUAACAUUUUCAUUAUCCAUUUAUCUGUUGACAAUUAGGUUUAUUCCAAUACUUUUCUAUGGUAAGCAGCAACCCAUAGGUAUAGAAAUAUCUCUUUUGUGUGGGGUAGAAUUUUCCAGUAUGCUACCAAGAAGGAAAGAGCUGGAUUAUAGAUUAGUUGUAGCUUUAAUUUUUUAAAUGAUCUCUAAACUGAUUUUUAUAAUGGCAUACACACACACACACACACACCAAUAUGAGUAGGGCUUCCUUUUUCUCCACAUUCUCACUAACAUUUGUUGUCAGAGUAGAUGACAGGCAGCCCUUCUGCCUGGGGUGAGCCACUAUUUCAGAGUGGUUUUAAUUUUAUUCCCUUCAUAGCAUUUUUGGAAUCCUAAACACCUUCUCCAUGUUUGUUGGUAAUUAGUGUUCCUAUCCAUUCAAAGUGUCUAUUUAGUAUAUUUGCCUAUUUGAUCAUUGGCAGUUUUAUUUUCUUGGAGUUUAUCUCUGUAUUCUUUGUAAAUUCUAGAUAUAAGCACCUGUCCAUGGGUUGGGGAUUUAGCUCAGUGGUAGAGUGCUUGCCUAGGAAACGUAAGGCCUCAGCUCUGGAGG